rnacentral:tRNA from 1 species
ACCUGGCUGGCUCAGUUGGUGGAGCAUGUGACUCUUGGUCUCAGGGUUGUGGGUUUGAGCCCCACAUUGGGUA